UACGUAGGGGGCUAGCGUUGUCCGGAAUCAUUGGGCGUAAAGAGCGUGUAGGCGGCCUCGGUAAGUCCGCUGUGAAAGUCGGGGGCUCAACCCUCGAAUGCCGGUGGAUACUGUCGGGCUAGAGUGCGGAAGAGGCGAGUGGAAUUCCUGGUGUAGCGGUGAAAUGCGCAGAUAUCAGGAGGAACACCUAUUGCGAAGGCAGCUCGCUGGGACGUAACUGACGCUGAGACGCGAAAGCGUGGGGAGCAAACAGGAUUAGAACCGU
rnacentral:rRNA from 1 species